rnacentral:rRNA from 1 species
GACGAACGCUGGCGGCGUGCCUAAUACAUGCAAGUCGAACGCAGUGGGGACUGGUGAGUAACACGUGGGUAACCUCCCAUCAGAGGGGAUACCACUUGGAAACAGGUGCUAAACCGAUACUGAUGGAUGGACCCGCGGUGCAUUAGCUAGUUGGUGAGGGAACGGCUCACCAAGUCCACGAUGCAGAGCGGACCUGAGAGGUGGAGCGGCCACACUGGGACUGAGACACGGACCAGAAUCCUACGGGAGGCAGCAGUAGGGAAUAUUGGGUAAUGGACGAAAGUCUGACCGAGCAACGCCGCGUGAGUGAAGAAGGUUUUCGGAUCGUAAAACUCUGUUGUUAGAGAAGCGUUAUCUAACCAGAAAGCAACGGCUAACUACGUGCCAGCAGCCGCGGUAAUUC